UAAUAUGUUAGCACAAAAUUUAAAGCUCUCUUUGAUACCAUUGAAGAGUUCUUUUUGUACCUUUUCUCUUACCGUACAUCUUGUGUCUUCAGAUACUUUUCUGUUAAAGAUUGAAGAAUUUGCCUAUUUUUCCCUGUCAUUCUAUUUCUCAUGAAGAGAUCACUUAAGAACAUUGGUAGGCUUAACGAUGAGUUCACUAGUCCAGUAAGAGCACACAGUAUUGGACAGAGCUCAAAAGGCCCUGUUGACCUGCUUGAUCGUCGUAUUACUGUACAUUAUAAUCGCGGCUGCUUGUGGGGGCAUCACUCUACCAUCCUGCAGAUCAAAAUAAUCUGUCCGAGGGAUCUCAAGUUAUGCAGAUGAAUCCUUGGUUGCUUCAUGGCUUGUUCAUUUUUAAUGAUACAGUUGGUUCGAAUUUCACCUGUGCAAGUGAUGUAAUGAUAAAGUAUGAUAGUGUCGCUGUAUUAUAGUUGCCGGUUUCUUCUUUAUUCUGUAUAUUGUAAAUACUGGGAAGUUUGUGGCAGUCUCUUUCUUUCUUGUUGGAGUUCGGAGAGAAUUUUGACACUGGCAUGUAAUUCUGAGAAUAUACUGAAAGGAAGGAAGGAAUUAGUGGUAAAGUUUACUUCAUGGACAAAGUUACGAGUAA